rnacentral:rRNA from 1 species
AGUUUGAUCCUGGCUCAGAACGAACGCUGGCGGCAUGCCUAACACAUGCAAGUCGAACGAACCCUUCGGGGUUAGUGGCGCACGGGUGCGUAACGCGUGGGAACCUGCCUUUAGGUUCGGAAUAACUCUCCGAAAGGGGUGCUAAUACCGAAUAAUGUCUUCGGACCAAAGAUUUAUCGCCUUUAGAUGGGCCCGCGUUGGAUUAGCUAGUUGGUGGGGUAAAGGCCUACCAAGGCGACGAUCCAUAGCUGGUCUGAGAGGAUGAUCAGCCACACUGGGACUGAGACACGGCCCAGACUCCUACGGGAGGCAGCAGUGGGGAAUAUGCGACAGAUGGUCGUAAGCCUGCUCCAGCAAUGUCGCGUGAGUGAUGUAGGCCUUCGGUCUGUAAAGCUCUUUUAUCCAGGUUGUUAAUGACAGUACCUGUUGCCUAAGCUCUGGCUUACUCCGUGCCAUCAUCUCCGGUAUUUCGGAGGUAGCUAGCGUUGUUCGGAAUUCCUGGGUGUAAAGCGCACGUAGGUGGCUUUUUAAGUCCGGGGUGAAAUCUCGUGGCUCAACCCCGGAACUUCCUCUGAAACUGUUUGGCUAGAUUCUUGGAGAGGCGAGUGGAAUUCCGAGUGUAGAGGUGAAAUUUGUAGAUAUUCGGAAGAACCCCAGUGGCGAAGGCGACUGGCUGGACAAGUAUUGACGCUGAGGUGCGAAAGCGUGGGGAGCAAACAGGAUUAGAUCCCCUGGUAGUCCACGCCGUAAACGAUGAUAACUAGCUGUCCGGGCUCAUAGAGCUUGGGUGGCGCAGCUAACGCAUUAAGUUAUCCGGCUGGGGAGUAUGGUCGCAUGAUUAAGACUCAAAGGCAUGUGACGGUGGCCUGCACCCUCGGUUGAGCAUGUGGUUUAAUUCGCAGCAACGCGCCGAUCGUUUCCAGCUUUUGAGGUCUCCGGUCUCGGGGAGAGGAGAUUCUUCCCUUCGGUUCCGCUGGACCGGUGACAGGUGCUGCCUGGCUGUCGUCAGCUCCGUGUCGUGAGAUGUUGGGUCUAAGUCCCGCAACGAGCGCCACCCUCGUCUCUUAGUUGCCAUCAUUAAGUUGGGAACUCUAAGGAAACCGCCGGUGAUAAGCCGGAGGAAGGUGGGGAUGACGUCAAGUCCUCAUGGCCCUUACAAGCUGGGCUACACACGUGCUACAAUGGCGAUGACAGUGAGCAGCGAUCCCGCAAGGGCUAGCUAAUCUCUAAAAGUCGUCUCAGUUCGGAUUGUCCUCUGCAACUCGAGGGCAUGAAGGCGGAAUCGCUAGUAAUCGCGGAUCAGCAUGCCGCGGUGAAUACGUUCCCAGGCCUUGUACACACCGCCCGUCACACCAUGGGAGUUGGUUUCACCCGAAGGCGCUGCGCUAACCCGCAAGGGAGGCAGGCGACCACGGUGGGAUCAGCGACUGGGGUGAAGUCGUAACAAGGUAGCCG